rnacentral:rRNA from 1 species
AUUGAACGCUGGCGGCAGGCCUAACACAUGCAAGUCGAACGGUAGCACAGAGAGCUUGCUCUCGGGUGACGAGUGGCGGACGGGUGAGUAAUGUCUGGGAAACUGCCCGGUGGAGGGGGAUAACUACUGGAAACGGUAGCUAAUACCGCAUAAUGUCGCAAGACCAAAGAGGGGGACCUUCGGGCCUCUUGCCAUCGGAUGUGCCCAGAUGGGAUUAGCUAGUUGGUGAGGUAAUGGCUCACCAAGGCGACGAUCCCUAGCUGGUCUGAGAGGAUGACCAGCCACACUGGAACUGAGACACGGUCCAGACUCCUACGGGAGGCAGCAGUGGGGAAUAUUGCACAAAGGGCGCAAGCCUGAUGCAGCCAUGCCGCGUGUAUGAAGAAGGCCUUCGGGUUGUAAAGUACUUUCAGCGGGGAGGAAGGCAAUGCGGUUAAUAACCGUGUUGAUUGACGUUACCCGCAGAAGAAGCACCGGCUAACUCCGUG